GGGGGAACUGAUCACAAUGUGCGACCGUAUGGACAAUUUCUAACUUCCUCCAACCAUUUGUUUCAGAGAAAAUGUGAGGCCAUUACCUCCACACAACAACACACUUCAUUUCAGAGUCUGUUGCAUGAUUGGAAUCCCAGUCUCGAUGUGGCAUCUAAAACAGAAAUUGGGAUCCUUCCUCUAGUGCCUUUUGUUGUCUAAGCUCCACAUUUUUCAUUUGGUGAUUAGGAGUGUCAAAUUCCCAAAAACAGGCUAUCCCCAUUCACCGUAAAGAGUUCUAACUUUUGGACUUUUAUAUAAAAACCUAAUUUUUGAAUCUCACUUUCAGAUACACUGGUAAUAAUGGACCAUCCAUGGAUUUCUUCAUAGGCUUGGCCUUUCUUAGACCCCGAAGUUCUCUAGAGCCUGUAAUAUUAGAGCAAAUGUAGUUGAAAAUUAUAUCACAUGGUGGCAGCAAAGGACCUUCCAAUGUUUGGCUUUCAGAUUUGCAGAAGAACUUCAGGUGCCCCAGGCAGCACUAUGGAGAUCCCAUGGGAGUCGGCUGAGAUGCAGAUCUGAAGCUUUCUCCAGCCCCAGAACAUCACAGGAACUGUUAGCACUCUCUCAACAAGCAGCUCUAAAGAAGGAUCUCUAGACAUCUGAGUUCUGUCUUGCAUCAUGAAGGGGCCCAUCCUUUGAGCAAAAAUAUCAGUUUUAAUGGGAAAUGAGCAAUUUCUGUAAUUGAGAGGGAGAAAGUAUAGCCAGCAGAAUCAGUAAGAACCAGUGCUGCUCUGUCUGCCUUUUCUUUCAUAUAAAAGUAUAAGUUGUGGUGAAGGAUGACUCUUCAAUAGAGCUGGAUAAAAAAUAAACAUGAUGUGGGGCACAUUCUUAUGUAUUUGGGUGUCUUUGUCCGAAAACAUAAUUUGGAAGCCAAAGUUAGACAACCGUACCAAGUGAAAUCACACCAAUAUAUUGAAAACAUAUAAUCAGUAAAUCUCAGCCAAUUAAUCUAAUACUAGUAUACACAUAGGUACUAUUCUUGAAAGUUUGUGUUCUCACAUAAUCUAGACAUUCUUAGAAAACUGCCAUUUCUCUACAAAACUUGGAGGGUUGAUGACAUGGCCAGGAGCUGUGAUAUGAAAAAUAUCAUUCUUUUUUUUUCUACAAACAUUUUGUAUGAGGCUUUCCACUGAUAGAAUAUCAUGAAAUCGGACAUUUGGAAGUCAUGUAUUAUAUGACGUGAAAUACACAUUAACUGCCUGUGAGCUUUCUCACCCUGCACUUCACUUUCCCUGUGAACGUAUUGCCACCAAAACACAAUUUCUACCAGGUAUUACUCAUUCAUUAAACAUAUUUGAGCCUAUAUUUAGUAGAACUUAGAGUGACCUUUUCACUGCAUGGGAGGCUUUGCAUAUAGCUGCUAUGUGAAGAUUCUCAGAAUAGCAAUGUGAGGAAAAAGAGCCUCCAUGGCAACACAACUGCCACAACAAACACAAUAUAGAACAAAACAGAUUAUCUGAUACUAUAGAUAUGAACAAAUGGAAAGGUCAUGAAGUGCUUUUGUUUUGUUUUGUUUUGUGGGGAUGAUGACUAUUGAAAUUGCAGCCUAGCUUGCAAGCCCUUCUGAGGGUAUCUAUAGAUUCUCCAGUUGUGCCCAGGUACCUCACAGGUCUGCUUCAGAAGCACUUAUCUGAAUUCCUGCUGAGUUGCCUUUUUCAAAUGCCCUAAAUGCAAAAGUUCUUUGUGAGUCAUAGAAAACACCUUCAUAAGAAAUGAGGUCAUAUUGACAACCUAGUAAAGCAUUUCAUCAGGCUGACCUGAUAUGUACUGCUGUAAAUUUAACAGGCUGUGUUUUAUUUCUGCCCUUCUUGUUUAGGUUAUGUUUAACCAUUUUGUGAA